rnacentral:tRNA from 1 species
GUGGUGGCUCAGUGGUAGAAUGCGUGCCUAGCACGUGCGAGGCCCUAGGUUCAAUCCUCAACACCACA